rnacentral:rRNA from 1 species
UACAGAGGUCCCAAGCGUUGUUCGGAUUCACUGGGCGUAAAGGGUGCGUAGGCGGUCGGGUAAGUCUGAUGUGAAAUCUCACAGCUUAACUGUGAAACUGCAUUGGAUACUAUCCGGCUCGAGGAAUGGAGGGGAGACUGGAAUACUUGGUGUAGCAGUGAAAAUGCGUAGAUAUCAAGUGGAACACCAGUGGCGAAGGCGAGUCUCUGGACAUUUUCCUGACGCUGAGGCACGAAAGCCAGGGGGAGCAAAACGGG